UACGGGGGGGGCAAGCGUUGUUCGGAAUUACUGGGCGUAAAGGGCGCGUAGGCGGCAAUUCAAGUCAUCUGUGAAAUCUCCGGGCUUAACCCGGAACGGUCAGGUGAUACUGUUUUGCUAGAGUGCGGAAGGGGCAAUCGGAAUUCUCGGUGUAGCGGUGAAAUGCGUAGAUAUCGAGAGGAACACCAGAGGUGAAGACGGGUUGCUGGGCCGACACUGACGCUGACAGCGCGAAAGCCAGGGGAGCAAACGGG
rnacentral:rRNA from 1 species